rnacentral:misc_RNA from 1 species
GCCCAAUUUUCUCUCUCUUCCCUUACCCCAAAGGUUCCAUCUCUUUGCCCUCUUUCCAAAUCUCCCAAAUCCCCCAAAAUUCUAGGGUUUUCAUUUCCCUGUUGAAAUUUGGAUCGGUGCUUUGUUUUAGUUUUUGUGUAGAGGUUCCGAUUCCUGGAUUUUGUGGGAGAAUUUUGGGGGAUUCCAAUUGUAUAUUAAGAGAAAGAGAUGAGUUUUCAAGAUCUUGAAGCGGGUCGACCAUUGGGGCCCCGUAGAGGGUAUAUGAAUGGUAAGCAAGACCCAACUCAAGCUGUGGCUUCUGGAAUUUUCCAGAUUAACACUGCUGUGUCAACGUUUCAAAGGCUGGUCAAUACACUUGGAACACCCAAAGAUACACCCGAGCUGCGUGAGAAGUUGCACAAGACGAGGGUACAUAUUGGGCAGUUAGUGAAAGAUACAUCUGCAAAACUUAAGCAAGCCAGCGAAACAGAUCAUCGUGUUGAAGUCAGUGCUAGCAAGAAAAUAACAGAUGCUAAACUUGCUAAAGAUUUUCAAGCAGUCUUGAAGGAGUUUCAAAAGGCUCAAAGGCUUGCAGCUGAGAGAGAGACAGCAUAUACACCUUUUGUUCCCCAAGCAGUUCUUCCUUCAAGUUAUACAGCCAGUGAGAUAGAUGUUUCUUCGGGAAAGAGUCCAGAACAGCGAGCUCUCCUUGUGGAAUCAAGAAGACAAGAGGUUUUACUUUUGGACAACGAGAUAGCCUUUAAUGAAGCAAUCAUCGAAGAAAGAGAGCAGGGAAUACAAGA